AUCACCCAAAAGGUAGCAGCUUACAACAAGCAUUUAUUAUCUCAGUUUCUUCUGGUUAGGAAUCUGGCUGAUACCUAGCUGGGGGUCUCCAGCUCAGAGCCUGUCUCUCAGAAGGCUAUACGCAACAUGUUAUCAUCUAAGGCUGCUCUCAAGGCAAACCAUGAUUAGAGGAGGACCCAUUUCUCAACUCAAGCACAUUGCUGUUGACUAGUGCCAGGACUUUAAUGGCUGUGAGCCACAGACACCAUUUCUUGGCCACAGGGAAGUUCACAAAAGCAGUAGGUCACUUCCUUCAGAACAAGUGAAAGAAGGCAGCCCAACACACAGAGAAGUUAUAAACCUCU